UACGUAGGGUGCAAGCGUUGUCCGGAAUUAUUGGGCGUAAAGAGCUCGUAGGCGGUUUGUCGCGUCUGCUGUGAAAACCUGCGGCUCAACUGCAGGCUGGCGGUCGAUACGGGCAGGCUGGAGUUCGGUAGGGGAGACUGGAAUUCCUGGUGUAGCGGUGAAAUGCGCAGAUAUCAGGAGGAACACCGGUGGCGAAGGCGGGUCUCUGGGCCGAUACUGACGCUGAGGAGCGAAAGCGUGGGGAGCGAACAGG
rnacentral:rRNA from 1 species